rnacentral:lncRNA from 1 species
CAGAAAACUAAGAGUAUUUGUGAGUGGUGGAUUAUGGGUGUUUUCUUAAUAUUCUUUUCUUUAUAGUUUUCCAUAAUACCGUAAAAUAAACUUUAUAAUUAGGAAAAGCAUUUUUUUGAAACAUGAGAAAUCCAAGUUUAUUUUAAGAGGAAACACAUUAUUAUUUUCCAGGAAGAAAUAUCAAUAAAGAGGGGGACUGGGGAUCUCCACGGGAGGCCCUCUCGAGCCCUGCUCUAUCACCCUGGAGAGUGGACCACAAAAGCACCUCCCCUAGGCAAAGUGCACACCAGAGCCUCUUGUAGUUCAGUUAUUGGAAGAUAGUGGGCAGGUGGAAGGAGACUAGAGGCAGGAUCUGAAUAAUCAAUUGGGUAGGAUCCAGAGGCUACAGGAGCUGAGGGGAGUCAGG